AGUCCGUCCGAUUCGCACCAAUCUUAGCGAUUUUCGUUUGUCCUCAGUUGGAUGUGGGUACGUGGCGGACCUUUUUCUGUGUUGUUGGGCUUUCGGGUUUGCGGGUCUAUGGGUUACGUUAUUCGAUCCGCGAAGCGCCAGGUGUUUUUGAAUUUUCUAUUCAGUCUGUGGGGCGGCGGCCUUUGUUGUAUCUGAGGAGGGGAUUGGUGGGGUUGGGCCGAGGCGGGGCAGAGACGGCGGAGGGAAGGCGAGGGCGGAGGCGGGGGCGUCCUCGCCGGUGUUUAGCAACGGAGAUGGCGCGCGCCGAGUCCUCCGCGUGGAGAGCUUGUAAGCAGGAGGCGUGCUCCACAGGGCCGGCUGCACGCAGGUCAGAUGUCGGUUUGGAGAGGAGCUCGGCGGAGCUGCGCCGCCAUGUUCGCCACCAGCAAGCUUCAGUCGGUGGGUGCGACGGUAGUCGUCGGCGCCGUCGGGGCGCAAGGAAGGUGAUCAUGUUUUUAUUGAGUUCUUCUCUGCCAAGUGGAACAACAGGGACACAAGCCUUAUCUAACUCUAGUACAUUUUCCUUAUGUAUAAAUGAUUCACAUGUAAGGUGAUCAUCACAUAAAUGCAGCAUGUAUAUAUAAAUGAAAAUUUCAGGGAAGGGAGGGCAGCGUGGGUUCCUUUUGUUAGUCAGCCUUAGCGCUUUUGCAUUAACGGGUCUGCUAGGCGGCCCGUUUCAGGGGCAGGUUCCUUUUACGUAAACUAGAAGGAGCCCAAGAGGCUUCGGCAGAUUUUCGACCUGAAGCAGGAAAGAAAACAGACGUUUUUGUGCACUAAUGAGUUUCUAGACAGAGUAUAUACUUAGACACGUGACAAUCAUUGAGUGGAAUAAAAAACGACCUGACACCAAUUUAAAAUCAGUCGCCUGUUUAUAAGUCACUCCCAAAAUAUUUAUUCUUGUAGAGCACUAAAUGUCAUCAGGCCUGGUGGUUAAUCGCCAAUUGGGUCGCACCUUCUU